rnacentral:rRNA from 1 species
CGCCUGUUUAUCAAAAACAUCUUUUCUUGUUAGUUUUUGAAGUAUGGCCUGCCCGCUGAUUUUAGGUUGAAGGGCCGCGGUAUUUUGACCGUGCAAAGGUAGCAUAAUCAUUAGUUCUUUAAUUGUGAUCUGGUAUGAAUGGCUUGACGAGGCAUGGGCUGUCUUAGAUUGGGAUUGUUUAUUGAAUUUGGUUUUUGAGUUAGAAUUCUUAAAUGUUUUUAUGGGACGAGAAGACCCUAUAGAGUUUAACAUUUGUUUAUAUAGCUUGUUUUGGUUUGUUUUAGUAGUUGCUUUGUUUUAAUGUUUUGUUGGGGUGAUGGGAAGAAUUUUCUUAACUCUUCUUUGUUUUGGUAUAUUGAUUUAUAUUGGUUUGAUCCAUUUAUUUUGAUUAUAAGAUUAAAUUACCUUAGGGAUAACAGCGUAAA